rnacentral:rRNA from 1 species
UGGGGAAUAUUGGACAAUGGGCGAAAGCCUGAUCCAGCAAUGCCGCGUGAGUGAUGAAGGCCUUAGGGUUGUAAAGCUCUUUUACCCGGGAUGAUAAUGACAGUACCGGGAGAAUAAGCCCCGGCUAACUCCGUGCCAGCAGCCGCGGUAAUACGGAGGGGGCUAGCGUUGUUCGGAAUUACUGGGCGUAAAGCGCACGUAGGCGGCUGUUCAAGUCAGAGGUGAAAGCCUGGAGCUCAACUCCAGAACUGCCUUUGAAACUAGACAGCUAGAAUCAUGGAGAGGUGAGUGGAAUUCCGAGUGUAGAGGUGAAAUUCGUAGAUAUUCGGAAGAACACCAGUGGCGAAGGCGGCUCACUGGACAUGUAUUGACGCUGAGGUGCGAAAGCGUGGGGAGCAAACAG